CACACAUCUCUUUUGUUAUUUAUUUUCUUCUUUUUUCUUUUACAUUCACAUAUUACAAAUUUAAAAUAAAUAAACAAAAAUUACAUUAAAACUUUAAAAUUUACAAAAUGGCCCCUAAAAACUCCAGAAAUUGCAGGGAAGGACUCCUGGGGGCUGCGUGAACAGUUCCGGCGCGUGGAUCCACGCGCCGCCACAAGAAAACCCAACAGCAAGGGGGCUGGAUCGACUCCCUCUUCUCAGCCUCCCAACGCCGGCGGUGAGGACCGCCGUUACCUACAAUAACAGAAAAAGCACAACACAGUCGAUUUUAAUUUUUGUCUUUGUUCUAAAAUCUGCUUCGGUUCCUUUUUUUGGCAGAUCGGCUUCUGUCUUUUCUUCUUGGCAGAUCGGCUUCGGUUUUCUUCUCUUCUCUUUUGGUGGCCGCCGAUGACUGGGAAGCUGCUGCGGUUGAUGGAGUGGACGGCGCUGAUGGGAUGGACCGACGCUGCUGCUGAGGCGAGGUUGAUGGCGGCGUUGAGGCGGAGGAAUGGA
rnacentral:lncRNA from 1 species